ensembl:lncRNA
CACCUGCCUCUGAUUGAGAACCACUCUAGGCAACCAUAGACGUACCUAGAACACUCAACUGAACACAACCCCAUCAAUCUAUAAAAACCCCUAGACAAGGAAACACAUAAUCACCCAUGUCACACCCUGGCCUGACCAAAAUAAUAAAGAGAACACAGAAUACUAAGGCCAGGGUGUGACACAUGAAUACAUUGCUCAGAACCAACCAGAAAACACAGAAUACUAAGGCCAGGGUGUGACACAUGAAUACAUUGCUCAGAACCAACCAGAAAACACAGAAUACUAAGGCCAGGGUGUGACACAUGAAUACAUUGCUCAGAACCAACCAGAAAAGUACUCCCUGAUAGGGAACUUACGGCUUCACGACACGGUGCUCCAUGGACAUGGUAUGAAGCCAUUAUAUAUAUAUUAUUAUUUAGACAUAUUUCAUUAUUUAUACAUUUUUAGGCUUGAACAUGUUAAAACAAGGACAAAUAAUGUUUUUUCAGGCUCCAGCGCUACAGGCCAGGCAGAAUCGGUCAUUCUUGAUGACAAAAGACAACCUCCUUCGGUUUCAACAGCCCUCGUUAAAAAAGCAGAGACUCCUCUCUGGUGUAUAACGGCACAGAAGACCACACACAGAGAGCAGAGUAUUUCACCAAUAAAACAACGAAACCGGAUGAUUUCAACGUUUUAUAUGACAUUUCCGAGGUAGACGAUUUGAUGUGAUGUGAAGCGGCCAACCUUCUUGAUUCUGAUUCUGUGGAGGCAACAGACGGUUCUGAAAUAGAACAGGCCUUUUCAAAGGGUUGAAAAUCCAGAAGUGUUUUGCUCCACAGACGGAUGUUUUACUGGAGCGUCAAAACCGCCAGGAUAUAUCAUUCUGUCGGAGAGCGAUUCCACGUAGGUUAAACAACAAUCAGAUUAAACAGCGCAAAUACAGGCGUUAAAAGCAUAUAUGUAACACGGAUCCUUCCAGAAUAACACAACACAUCCUUAAUAAUCCAAAUGGCGGAUCCAAUAGACCUAGGAGACAGUUGAAAACCUCUUAUCUCAGAUACCGCCAGAACUCCAAGCCAUAUGAUGCGGGGGUAACAGACAUAAUGGCGAUAGAUGAAAACCUCUUAUCCCAGAUACCGCCAGAACUCCAAGCCAUAUGAUGCGGGGGUAACAGACAUAAUGGCGAUAGAUGAAAACAUAUUAUCACAGAUUCCCCAAACUCAUAGAAAUGAUUAAUCGUAUGAAUGAGUCAGGGCUGUCCGAUGAAAACCUGUUAUCACAGAUUCCCGAAGCCCUCAUAUUACCCAGAUGAACGAGAGCCAAAGGUCUAAUGCUGCAACACCUCUAAGCCAUGUCUGAAUAGUCUGAAAUGCAAUAUGAUGUUUUUGAGCAGUUGGAAAAUUGUCUAACAAAUCAGGAGGAGUACAGUCUUGAUAGAAGUGUACGUGUUGUGUACCGAAAUCAAUUCAACAAUACAGAGAUUCAACAGUUUUUCAAUUUCGCAUGGGUGAAUCAGAAUAUUGACUGUGCUGUGAUGAUUUUGGACACUUUGAACGAACUGUUAGACAGGGCUAGAGAUUAUGGCGAACCACAUGAUGUCUUACAGUUGGAAAUUUGUGGAGACAUGCAUAGCACGGUAUCUCUUAUUGUGGAGACAUGCAUAGCACGGUAUCUCUUAUUUUACCCAAUGAUGAAGCAGAUCUGGAACAAUUUAUGGCCCUUGACUUGUUCAGUCAAAUGUUUCCGUCAGAGCCGAUAGGAACCUCGAGCUUGUAGUGCAAAUAAUACGUGGUGGUGGUCAGAGAAGGAAACUCCAUAGCACUCGCUCUAAGGCGUGAGGAAAAGGAUGCCCAUAUAAGGGCAUAACCGCAUGAUCCCUUCCCACCAGGAACGGGAUGUUAGUUAUUACUGUAUAGUCGGAACUAGAAGCACAAGCAUUUCGCUACACUCACAUUAACAUCUGCUAACCAUGUGUAUGUGACAAAUACAAUUUAAUUUGAUUUGUCCUGACCGUAUGCCCAAAUAUGGGCACGCACACGUCAUCAUGACAUAGGACCAUAAAUCAAACGUUUGACGUGCCUCGUCUACUUUAUUCUCUCUCACAUAAAAUAAACAGCUUUUGCUUUGUAAUUAUGGGGUAUUGUGUGUAGAUUGAUGAGGGAAAAAAACUUAAUCUAUUUUAGAAUAAGGCUGUAACGUGACAUGACAAAAUGUGGAAAAAGUCAAGGGGUCUGAAUACUUUCUGAAUGCCAUGUAUAUCAGUAUAUUAGAGAGCAGAGAGAACAGAGAGCAGAAAGAGCAGAGAGAGCAAGCAGAGAGAGAGACCAGAGCGAACAGAGACAGCAGAGAGAGAGAAGAGAGUGAACAGAGAGAGCAGAGAGACCAGAGAGUGAACUGAGAGAGCAGAGCGAGAGAGCGAGCAGAGCGAGAGAGUGAGAGAGCGAGCAGAGCGAGAGAGUGUGCAGAGCGAGAGAGUGAGCAGAGAGAAAACAGAGAUCAGAGAGAGAGAGCAGAGAGAGCAUAGAGAGAGCAGAGAGAGAGCAGAGAGAGAGUAGAGAGAGAGCAGAGAGAGAGCAGAGAGAGAGCAGAGAGAGAGAGAGAGCAGAGAGAGAGUAGAGAGAGAGAGUAGAGAGACAGAUA